AACCCAUGACGAGUGCGCCUUAUCAAUAGGUCCUUGUAUCUCUCCCAUACAUCAUAAAGAGUUUCUAAAUCCAUCUGCACAAACGAAAAGAUACCAUUCCUUAAUUU
rnacentral:snoRNA from 1 species